rnacentral:rRNA from 1 species
GGACUAAGACAUGCGAGUUGUGCGUCUCUAAGCCAUGGUAGAGACGCGGCGUACGGCUCAGUAACAUGUGGCUAACCUACCCUUAGGACGGAGACACCCCGGGAAACUGGGGCUAAUACCCGGUAGAUUAGGAGGCCUGGAAUGGUUCCUAGUCGAAAAGGCGUUGAAACCAUGCUUUUCGACGUCGCCUAAGGAUGGGGCCGCGCCUGAUCAGGUUGUUGGUGGGGUAACGGCUCACCAAGCCUAUAACCGGUACGGGCCGUGAGAGCGGGAGCCCGGAGAUGGGCACUGAGACAAGGGCCCAGGCCCUACGGGGCGCAGCAGUCGCGAAAACUCCGCAAUGCGCGAAAGCGUGACGGGGCUACCCCGAGUGCCGUCCGCUGAGGAUGGCUUUUCCCCGGUGUAAUGAGCCGAGGGAAUAAGGAGAGGGCAAGACUGGUGUCAGCCGCCGUGGUAAUACCAGCUCUCCGAGUGGUACGGAUGAUUAUUGGG